rnacentral:rRNA from 1 species
UGGGGAAUAUUGCACAAUGGGCGCAAGCCUGAUGCAGCCAUGCCGCGUGUGUGAAGAAGGCCUUCGGGUUGUAAAGCACUUUCAGCGGGGAGGAAGGCGAUAAGGUUAAUAACCUUGUCGAUUGACGUUACCCGCAGAAGAAGCACCGGCUAACUCCGUGCCAGCAGCCGCGGUAAUACGGAGGGUGCAAGCGUUAAUCGGAAUUACUGGGCGUAAAGCGCACGCAGGCGGUCUGUCAAGUCGGAUGUGAAAUCCCCGGGCUCAACCUGGGAACUGCAUUCGAAACUGGCAGGCUAGAGUCUUGUAGAGGGGGGUAGAAUUCCAGGUGUAGCGGUGAAAUGCGUAGAGAUCUGGAGGAAUACCGGUGGCGAAGGCGGCCCCCUGGAAAAAGACUGACGCUCAGGUGCGAAAGCGUGGGGAGCAAACAGG